AGUUGUCCCGCGUGGCCCGGGCUGUGGGAAGCAGGUCCUGGCUCUUGGUCCGAGCCAUCGUGCUUUGUAUGAUGGAAAGGCAAAUCCACGCGAAUCUCUUGAAAAAGAGAGGAAUUCUGCCCAGACUCUCCAGCAGUUGGUAGCAGGCAAGCUUUCUCCUGUGUCGCCUGGAAAAGUUGCAAAAUUGCUCUUCACCUGUAAGAACAUGCAUUUUAUCUUCCAGUCUCUUCUUGUCAAUUUGGAAAUUGCAGACACCCCGGCUCAGGAGAAAUGGCUCUGUGCAUUGGUUUUCCUGGCUGACACUGAGAAUAAGCAACUCUGUCUGCUUGUUGUCUGAAGUUGUUUGAAGAUGAUUAGAGGAGAAAUAACACCAAAGCCCUGAGCAAUGCUUUGCAGACAUCUAGGGGCUCAGGAUGUGUGAUGUAGCCUAGUUCUAUUUGUUGACAUCCAGCUUUUGAAAGCAUCAGCCUUUGAGAGUGGAACAAUAUUGGAGCUAUGGAGUCACCUUUACCUGGAAAUAUCGAAGGAUCAUGAACUUGUCGUCGUCGUCAUCGUCAUCAUCAUCACCAUCACCAGCAGCAGCAGCAGCAGCAAGAUUUUGUGUUGGGAAGGUACUUCCAAAUGCUACAGGGGACAGAAGGUCAUCAGCUAUUGGCCCAGGGAUUAUAGCAUGGAAGAGUUCCUCUUCUCAGAGGAUAUUAAACCUUUUGAGGAUU
rnacentral:lncRNA from 1 species